CAGCGAUCGAUCCGGGGGGGAAGGUCAGAUGCUGGCCCCCUGGGGCACGUGCGCGCCUCUCCCCCCCUCGUCCCUUUACACACCCCUGGUCGGGGACGUGUCCCCCUCGGGGCGCGUCCCCUUCCACCUUAUACCCCACCCUGUUUUUAACCGCAUGUCUUUGGGAACGCUCUACGGAGCGGGUAACAUUUGGUA
rnacentral:misc_RNA from 1 species